GAUCUUCUUCAUUUCAUUAUAAUAUGUCCUUAAGUUGGCUUUCUCUUAUAAAUGCCUGUUUGCCACUCUGUGAAUCUUUUGGUCCUUUCAAUGUGUACUUUAUGUUAAUGUUUUUCUGAAAAAAAAAAUCAGUCAUUUUUUAUUUACAGCCCUGGGAUUUACAGCCCCAUGAAUCCUUAAGUAAAGGCUCUGUUCCAGCACCUUGUCAGAGGGGUGCUGGUGGGCAAACAGGAAAGGCUUUAGGAAUUGAGCACUUCAUUGAUCUGUUUGUCUUUGUUUAUUUUUUAAGAGCCAAGAACUCUGGAACUUGUUAAAAUAAGAAGAAUCCUCAGCAUCAACGCAAGUGUUAGAAAAUGCCUCACAGAAAAGAAAUCCAGUCACACUGGUGAAAGAGCGACGUUGACGGCUUAAAGAUACAAUUUGGUUCUGGAUAAAAAUAAAUAUACAUUUGUUUUUUGUAAAGUGCUUCUUGGUUAGAUUCGGCUUCAAAAUAUUUGCAUUUUUCAGAGGUGGUAACUGGGGAAACUGUAACACUGCUCAAAAAUCAUUUCCUACAUGCCUGCUCCACAGCGCAGACUGCCAUUCCUCCCAGCGCGAAUGCCGUGAAACGCUUCACGUCCUCCGAUCUCGCCCUUGAUGUUUACCAUGUGCUAGAUGCUCUUAACCUUCACAACUAUCCGUCAAAGGAGGAAUUAUUACCCAAUUUCACAAAGAAACAGGCAGAAAAUGUCUCCAAGUCCAUGUGACUGUGUAAUAUGUCAGGGUCAGGAUUUGGACCUAGAAGCUUUCAGGGAACGAGGUGUUCAGGAGGCUCUUCUGUCAUCUGUUCACCUGCAAACUGAUCUGGUUCUUGUCAGCUCUGAUGCUAUGCGAGGCACAAGGUUGCCACAGGAUGUUGAGUGUAGUUCCCUGUGCUACACGGAAGGAAGUGCUGCUGGGCUUUUAUCUCCUCCUGCGUGCUGUUGCUCUCCAUCAGCCUUCACGGAGUGGGAAGGGGAAGCGUCACACCAUCUACAGCGCAGGAUUUACCGACUGGGGGACUCUAAAUGGAAUUUCAUACAAGCAGCAAAGAAUUGUAGACUUUCCACUAAAUUAUUUCUUCCAUAGUCAAAGAGGAAAAUCGCCCAAGAUGUUAAAACUCUAGCUUUGAUACCCUUUUCUCCUCUCCAUUCUAAAAGCAGCAAUUUCUUCACAUCUCUGCUCUGCAACAUCUCAACCAAUGUUUAGGAAACACCUGUCCUAACAACGGGUGUUGCCCUGGAACUUUGCACAUCCACUGAGAGUACCCCUCACUGAAACAGGACUUAUGCACCACUCGGGGCUCCUGAUUUGUACGUGUCGCUGUGCCCAUCUCGUUAUUCCUGAUGUUCAGGGUUGUUGAGAGGAUGUUGUUGGGCUGCCUUCGUUUUCCCUGAUUACUCUAGCCAGUUUAUCUGUAUCAUUAGCAUUAGAAAAAACAGAUUUUGGUGUUUUUGAUUAAGUCUACAUUUUGUGUACCAUUUUAUUAAUUUGCGCUUUUAACUUUAUUAACUGACUCCUCUUAUUAUUUUGGGGGGGAUGGGAAUUUUGGAUAUAUGUGUGUACUCAUUUUUCAACCUUUCUUAUUUCUUAAUAAAUUAAGUUAGGAUUAAAUAUUUCCCUCUGAGAACUGCCUUAUCAAUUUCUACAG